rfam:Salmo salar isolate Sally breed double haploid chromosome ssa14, whole genome shotgun sequence.
CCUAAGGUUCUACUAAGAACCAUUAAUAGAAUGUUCUAUGUAUCA